GGGCCCGCACAAGCGGUGGAGCAUGUGGUUUAAUUCGAUGAUACGCGAGGAACCUUACCAGGGCUUAAAUGUAGUAUGACCGGCUUGGAAACAGGCCUUCUCUUCGGAGCAGAUUACAAGGUGCUGCAUGGUUGUCGUCAGCUCGUGCCGUGAGGUGUUAGGUUAAGUCCUGCAACGAGCGCAACCCCUAUUCUUAGUUGCCAGCGGUUCGGCCGGGGACUCUAAGAAGACUGCCAGCGCAAGCUGAGAGGAAGGUGGGGAUGACGUCAAAUCAUCACGGCCCUUACGUCCUGGGCUACACACGUGCUACAAUGGUAGAGACAAUGGGUUAAUCCCAAAAAGCUGUCUCAGUUCGGAUUGGGGUCUGCAACUCGACCCCAUGAAGUCGGAAUCGCUAGUAAUCG
rnacentral:rRNA from 1 species